AAAGUUAAUUCUUGCGGAAACAAGAGAACCUGGUCUUUUCAAGAUAAAUUGUUUAUACUUCAAAAUAAAUAUUGUAAAACAACUCUAAUGAUAAAUUUUACCAUUUUUGAGAAAAUCACAUUUGAGAAAUCGAAAGCGUAUGACACCAGGUUGUUUUACAAAGAAAAUAUAUGGCUCAAAGACAAAGUAAAUCGAACAUGCUUUUACUUUUUUGAAUACAACGAACUGUUUUUAGUAAAGUGACCAAAAUGUUCGCUUGAGUAUGGAAAAUAAUGAUUUUAUCGCGAUGUUUAGAUGUUAAGAGUAAGAGAAGUCCAUUCGUUGUAAUGCGAGAUCAGUUGUCAAGUGGUUGGCAAGAAAUAAUUGUCGUUGACAACAAAUUCCAUUGCCAUUGCUCAAAGCAAAUUAAUUUCCUCAAAGUACCUUAACAUUUUGACAAUGCAUUGACAGCAAACUUCAUUAAACUCAGAAAUGAUAUUUUUAAACAUCGAAACAUUACGAUUAAAUCAUUGGUUCCAUACUCAAUUUAACAUAUUUAUAAGUACAUUUCUUUCACAUGCCAAAUCACGAAAUAUUUAAGAAUUUGAAAUGAUCUCGGUCUUUCAAAGCCAUAUAUAUUUGAGUGCCGUUUCUAACCUGACAACUUUGAGUUGAUUAUACAUAUAAUGUUAAUACCAAUUCAAGUGAUGAAAAUGCAGUUCAACAAAAUUUUAAAAGAAUGUUAUCUCUCCAAUUCAUUUUUGGAACAAAAAUUCAGUUUCAAUUUGCUUUUGCUUAAAAUGAUACAUUUCUCGUCCUCGAUAAAUACAAUAAAUUUCACUUCGGGAAAAGUUGUCCUGUUUUAUAUUAUUUAUAUAUUAAAAAAACCACUUCAGGAAAUAUUUUUGAUGCAAACAUGUAGCAACUAUGUCCAUGUACAUUAACACACAAAAUAUGUUUUAAAUUACUCAAACUUUCAAA